rnacentral:rRNA from 1 species
CGGGUGAGUAACACGUGGAUGACCUACCCCUUGCGGGGGACAACAUCUGGAAACGGAUGCUAAUACCGCAUAAGUCAGCUCUAUAGACGAGUUGGGAAAGGUGGCUUCGGCUAUCACCAGGGGAUGGGUCCGCGUCCCAUCAGUUAGUUGGUAGGGUAAUGGCCUACCAAGGCGACGACGGGUAGCUGGUCUGAGAGGAUGAUCAGUCACACUGGAACUGAGACACGGUCCAG